rnacentral:rRNA from 1 species
CCUCCUUGUGUCCUCCUUUUUUUCUCUUUCCCCCUUUUGUCCCCCCUGCUGCCGCGCCGCCGCGUGUGGGAAGACGGUCCUCUGGAUUGUAAACCACUGUCCCCAGGGACGAAGAUGACGGUACCUGGGGAGGAAGCUCCGGCUAACUACGUGCCAGCAGCCGCGGUAAUACGUAGGGAGCGAGCGUUGUCCGGAAUUACUGGGUGUAAAGGGAGCGUAGGCGGGGAUGCAAGUUGGGUGUCAAAACUACCGGCUCAACUGGUAGUCGCACUCAAAACUGCAGCUCUUGAGUGAAGUAGAGGCAGGCGGAAUUCCUAGUGUAGCGGUGAAAUGCGUAGAUAUUAGGAGGAACACCAGUGGCGAAGGCGGCCUGCUGGGCUUUUACUGACGCUGAGGCUCGAAAGUGUGGGGAGCAAACAGGAUUAGAUACCCUUGUAGUC